rnacentral:rRNA from 1 species
UGGGGAAUAUUGGGCAAUGGGGGAAACCCUGACCCAGCAACGCCGCGUGAAGGAAGAAGGUUUUCGGAUUGUAAACUUCUGUCCUAAGGGAAGAAAGAAAUGACGGUACCUUAGGAGGAAGCCCCGGCUAACUACGUGCCAGCAGCCGCGGUAAUACGUAGGGGGCAAGCGUUGUCCGGAAUUAUUGGGCGUAAAGGGUGCGUAGGCGGCCGAUCAAGUCAGGUGUGAAAGACCCGUGCUUAACAUGGGGGAUUGCACUUGAAACUGGUUGGCUUGAGUAUGGGAGAGGCAAGCGGAAUUCCCGGUGUAGCGGUGAAAUGCGUAGAGAUCGGGAGGAACACCAGUGGCGAAGGCGGCUUGCUGGACCAAAAGCUGACGCUGAGGCACGAAAGCGUGGGUAGCAAACAGGAUUAGAUACC